GCGAAGGCAGGGUCAGCAGGCGCGGUAAGACGGAGGAUCCAAGCGUUAUACGGAAUGAUUGGGGGUAAAGGGGCCGUAGGCGGUCUGAUAAGUCAGUGGUGAAAGCCCAUCUCUCAACGAUGGAACUGCCAUUGAUACUGUAAGACUUGAAUGCUUAGGAAGUAACUAGAAUAUGUAGUGUAGCGGUGAAAUGCUUAGAUAUUACAUGGAAUACCAAUUGCGAAGGCGGGUUACUACUAAGUGAUUGACGCUGAUGGACGAAAGCGUGGGGAGCGAACAGGAUUAGAUACCCCUGUAGUC
rnacentral:rRNA from 1 species